UGAACGCUGGCGGUAUGCUUAACACAUGCAAGUCGAACGGCAGCGACUUUGUUUCUUCGGAAACAGAGGGCGGCGAGUGGCGGACGGGUGAGUAAUGCGUAGGAAUCUGCCCUAAAGUGGGGGACAACCCGAGGAAACUCGGGCUAAUACCGCAUAUGUUCUACGGAACAAAGCUGGGGACCUUCGGGCCUGGCGCUUUAGGAUGAGCCUACGUCGGAUUAGCUUGUUGGUGGGGUAAUGGCCUACCAAGGCAACGAUCCGUAGCUGGUCUGAGAGGACGAUCAGCCACACUGGGACUGAGACACGGCCCAGACUCCUACGGGAGGCAGCAGUGGGGAAUAUUGGACAAUGAGCGAAAGCUUGAUCCAGCAAUACCGCGUGUGUGAAGAAGGCCUUCGGGUUGUAAAGCACUUUCAGCAGAAAAGAAAUGCUCAAGGUUAAUAGCCUUGAGAGAUGACCGUUAUCUGAAGAAGAAGCACCGGCUAACUCUGUGCCAGCAGCCGCGGUAAU
rnacentral:rRNA from 1 species